GACGUAGGGCGCGAGCGUUGUCCGGAUUUAUUGGGCGUAAAGAGCUCGUAGGCGGCUUGUUACGUCGACUGUGAAAUCCCGCGGCUCAACUGCGGGCUUGCAGCCGAUACGGGCAGGCUAGAGUUCGGUAGGGGAGACUGGAAUUCCUGGUGUAGCGGUGAAAUGCGCAGAUAUCAGGAAGAACACCCGUGGCGAAGGCGGCUCUCUGGGACGGUACUGACGCUGAGACGCGAAAGCGUGGGGAGCGAACAGG
rnacentral:rRNA from 1 species